AAGUUUCAACGUCAAUUAGCAAAAUCCUCAAUUAGCAAAAAUUCCAUGUUUCGAGCCAAUUUAUCCAAUCCCACUCGAAAAUGAACUACAAGAACAGUUUUUUUUCCUUCCAAUUCUCUCUCCUUAAUGGAAUGUUCGCUCUCUUCUCGGAAAUUCGUUCAAUUCAUCUUCUCAGAUAAGUUUAACAGAGAAAGAAACGAAUUUUAGGUUCUAUUUCAUCUUCUCAACAAAGAUGAUUUUUAGGUCUGAUUUCAUCUUCAACUUGGGAGAUUAUGAUUUGUAAGUAACCUACUUUCAUCUAACCGCUUAGUUAAUAUCUAGUUAUUCUAUUGUUUCUGUUAGGUUUAUCUGUUUCGUCGAUUUCUUUAAAAUUAUGGGUUUUUUUUUUGUCUGAGUUAUAUGAAAUCAAUAUUAGUAUGACGAACUGAUUAAAUGUCAGAGUGCUGGCCCAUGGUCGGCGGAUCAAUCAUCCGAUUUUCCUAUGUGAGAUCUUUUAAAUGUCAAGAUGAUUGUUUGGGGAUGAUGGUUGAUGUUAUGCUAGUGUUCAUUUCUGAUAAAAAUUCAUAUAUUUGUUCUUCAAACUUUUUGCUUAAAGGUUUUAAUUUGAUGUACUACUACUGGAUUUAGUUAAAAGUAAUGAUAACAAGGGAUAAGUAAAACUCUUUAAUUAGGAAAAAUUUCCAUUAAUUCAAAGCCAUAUGAGCCGGCAUCUAUAUCAUCUUCCAUAGUUGAUGAUAUUCGUUUUCCGGAACAUCUUCCAUAGUUGAUGCUAGCUCCCGGAUCAUGGUGUAAAGUCACCAUGAAAGUGUUUGAUGUCAUAGAAUCUUUUAAUGUGAUAUAGCUGUUCAUGGCUCGAAACUUGUUUCAUAUUUGAGAUUGAUAUUCAACAAACACCCUCAAUAGAAACUACACGACUUCUGUCAUGGAAUACAUAAAAAAGAAUAGGAGCUUCUUUUUCUUAUGGAUUAGAUCCAAUUUAGUGGGGAUAAUCAUUUUUGAAGAGGUCACAUAGCUUUGUUCACUGUCCGAGUCGGAGGCUGUAAGUGGAAAAGAUGUACACAUAGUAGACCUGUUUGAACUGCAAAGUCGGACCUCUUCUUAUGCCUAUGUAUACCUCUUCAUAUGGCUACAUAUAUUGCAUGUGUCCUGUUUCCAUGUUUUGUGAUCAGAUGACUGACAUCUUCUGAACUGGUCGUGAUAUAAACUAACAGCCAAAGGAAAUGUUAGUGCUUUGUUUGUGUUUUGUUGUGAGAAGCAUUUUCUCGUGCAACCUUUCUUAUAAUGGUGCGUGUCCGAAACAUCUGCAUGCAUACCCAUGUCAUAGUUCUUGAAUCUGAAGUGGGCACGUGAGGUCAGUGGCGGAUGUACUGUUGGUCAUUGUUGGUCAUGUGACCAACUAAUAUUCCAAAAAAAAAAAUAAAAAAAUUUUGAAGCGUUUCUGAUUCUCAAACGCUCACCCAGACACACUUCCUCUUUCUCUCUCUUUCUCAUUCGCGAAACCCUAAAUCAGUAGCAUUGAGUGACGCGCCAACGCCGCAACCGGAAUUAUAUUUUGCCGGUGAGUUUUCCGACGCCGCAGUUCAGUCGAGUCGCACAGUAGCAGCGCCAGCACAGUAGCAGCGGUAUUGCGGUUAUCAGUCGAGACUCCAUUCGAGUCGCACACUCAGACUAUCGCGAAUCGCAUUCGGCCACAGUAGCAGCGGUGCUGGGUUUUGUGGUGUCUCAACUCUCAAAGAACAGUCAGUUCUUCAACUUUCAAGACUUCACUUGAAUCACUUCUUCACUGAAUCACUGUCGCAGCAGGCAGCAGCAGGCGGCAAACUUCAGUGAGUCCAAAUCCUGUUUGGAAAUGCUGAAGCUUACUUUUGGAGAGAUUUUUCAGGUUCAUAUCUUCUCUGUACUUAGUUGGGAAUGAGAAGAGUUGAGUGAUGUAGCAUAAUGGACAAGAAUUGUGCAUACAUUAGGCAUAUUUUGGUUCUAAUACAAGCUAUAUAGCAUCUUCCUCCCACUCCUUGGUUCCAAACCUUCAAUAAAAAGGCAUUUAAGUUGUAGUUAGCUAUUAUGAUUUCAUUUGUGGUUAAACACUGCUGAUUAUACUUUCCUUCAAUCUGUAGUUGAAACCAUAAGGUAUAACUGGAAAUAGUUUGGCUGAUGCUUCACUUGUGGAUUCACUUGUUAUUUAUUCCCAACUCAAUAAAUUUGCAGGAGCAUGUGGCCUCAUCAAUUGAGAAAGGUAUCAAGGAACAAAUAGAUUUGCUUGUGGUUUGCCGUGGAGGUUUCAGUUCGUUGCAACAACUUGACCAACCACACUCUGAAGGUUUGAUUGAUUGUGUUCAGAUCAAGUAAGGUUGCAUGAAUAUAAAUAAGUUUAGGAUGAAGAACUCUGAUAAGUACUCUGGAGUCUGGAGGCUCAGUCUGAUGGGGAUUUGAGUCUUUCGUUUACGGUGUUUUCGGAAAUCUAAAUCUGAUGAUGUCGCUACGUACUGAGUAAAAAUCAACUCCAAGGUAGGUUAAGGACAAAAUUUGAAGACUAUGGAAGUCAUUUGGCAGCAUUUUUGCUAUGUGCAAGAAGGUUGAAGAAGCUGUACAUUUUAUAAAUGCGUAGGAAUGCAAUCUAUGAAAUUGAAGGGAAGAGUGGAUUUGGAUUUUGUAUUACAUGGCUAUUUUUGGGAGCAAGACAUGUUGACAUCAUGUGAAAUGGUGGUAUGUGGAUUUUAAUCCCUCAAUUCAAAUGAAAAUAAUGCAAGAUAAGUUCUCGAUUCAAUUCGAAGUUGAUAUCUUCUUUGGUACUAAUUGCACAUUUUUUUAGUGGUCAUGCUCGUGGUUAUGUAUUUUUGCGUAAAUAUUUGUACAUGAUUUCCAUGUUAAAAUCUAUGGUAGCGAGUGUUAUCUUAUUGCGAACUAUUUGAAAUUUUAUUA